rnacentral:rRNA from 1 species
UAUGUGAUCGUCUCUCGCAUAUCAAUAAGCGGAGGAAAAGAAACUAACAAGGAUUCCCCUAGUAACGGCGAGUGAAGCGGGAAGAGCUCAAAUUUGAAAUCUUAAAGGGUUUCCCUUUACGAAUUGUAGUUUAAAGAAGUGUUUUUCUGUUGAGGUUUUGGUAAAAGUUCUUUGGAAUAGGACAUCAUAGAGGGUGAGAAUCCCGUAUUUGACCUUUACUUUCAACUUUGUGAUACACUUUCAAAGAGUCGGAUUGUUAGGGAAUGCAGUCCAAAAUGGGUGGUAAAUUUCAUCUAAAGCUAAAUAUUGGCGGGAGACCGAUAGCGAACAAGUACCGUGAGGGAAAGAUGAAAAGAACUUUGAAAAGAGAGUUAAACAGUACGUGAAAUUGUCAAAAGGGAAGCGUUUUGACACCAGUGUUGUUUUUCUGAAAAUCAAUUAAAGAACUGUUUAUGCUAAGCUUGUUUAGACUUUAUCAGCUAUCUGUUUAGUUUUGAGCUUUUCUUUAAUGCACUUUUCAGUUAACAAGUCAACAUCAAUUUCUUUUGCUGUAAAAAAGCUUGAGGAAGGUGGCUUGAGAUUCGUCUUAAGUGUUUAUAGCCUCUUGCCUAUGCAGUCGGAGAGAUUGAGGUCUGCAGCGUAGAUCCUUCGGGGCUAAAUGCAUUUGUGCUAAGUUAUAGCAUUUUAUAGACAACUUGUUGACUAUGAUUUGUCUUGUAGCUUACUCGCUUAUGUUAUUUUACCUACGCUUAGGAUGUUGAUCUACAGAGCGAGAGU